rnacentral:rRNA from 1 species
GAUGAACGCUGGCGGCGUGCUUAACACAUGCAAGUCGAGCGAAGCACCUUGACUUCUUCGGAAAGAUUGGUGACUGAGCGGGCGUACGGGUGAAGGUACGCGUAGGUAACCGUGCCUCACACAGGGGGAUAACAGUUAGAAAUGACUGCUAAUACCGCAUAAGACCACAGCACCGCAUGGUGCAGGGGUAAAACUCCGGUGGUGUGAGAUGGACCCGCGUCUGAUUAGCUAGUUGGUGAGGUAACAGCUCACCAAGGCGACGAUCAGUAGCCGACCUGAGAGGGUGACCCGGCCACAUUGGGACUGAGACACGGCCCAA